ACGCUCGACACCUACGGGGGCAGCAGUAGGGAAUCUUCCACAAUGGGCGCAAGCCUGAUGGAGCAACACCGCGUGAGUGAAGAAGGGUUUCGGCUCGUAAAGCUCUGUUGUUGGAGAAGAACGUGCGUGAGAGUAACUGUUCACGCAGUGACGGUAUCCAACCAGAAAGUCACGGCUAACUACGUACCAGCAGCCGCGGUAAUCUGAGCGGGCUGGCAAGGC
rnacentral:rRNA from 1 species